UACCAGCACCCCGAGUGGUCGGGACGUUUAUUGGGCCUAAAGCAUCCGUAGCCGGUUCUACAAGUCUUCCGUUAAAUCCACCUGCUUAACAGAUGGGCUGCGGAAGAUACUAUGGAGCUAGGAGGCGGGAGAGGCAAAGCGGUACUCGAUGGGUAGGGGUAAAAUCCGUUGAUCCAUUGAAGACCACCAGUGGCGAAGGCGGCUUGCCAGAACGCGCUCGACGGUGAGGGAUGAAAGCUGGGGGAGCAAACCGG
rnacentral:rRNA from 1 species